rnacentral:rRNA from 1 species
AUGUUCAUCCAUCCUCCUGGGAGCUGGAUGAUUUUGGACGGGAGAAACAGCUGGUUUAUUAUCAUCUAUCUGCUGAAUCUAGACGACCUGGCGGUCCGGGACGACGACACCGGGGAGCCGUCGCCGCUCCGGAUCUCCCCCUCCCAGUCAUCCUGCACCUGGGUGGCGAACUGGAGGUUCCAGAGCACGUCCUCGACCGACGGCCGGUGCACCGCCUCCUUGGCAAGGCACCUCAGGCAGAUCUCCAUGACGGUCCUCAGUGAUUCCUCUGAACAGCUCUUGCUCACCGCGGGGUCCACGAAGCUCCUCCUCCUGGCCCUGUCCUCCUCGGCCAUUGCCCACAGCAGCUGCAGCACAAUCAAGAUUCAGGUAUCUGUGUUGUGUUGUGCACUACCAUCUACAACUAGGUGA